AUUGAACGCUGGCGGCAGGCCUAACACAUGCAAGUCGAACGAGUGGCGGACGGGUGAGUAAUGUCUGGGAAACUGCCUGAUGGAGGGGGAUAACUACUGGAAACGGUAGCUAAUACCGCAUACCAUCGGAUGUGCCCAGAUGGGAUUAGCUAGUAGGGGGGGUAAAGGCUCACCUAGGCGACGAUCCCUCGCUGGUCUGAGAGGAUGACCGGCCAAACGGGAACUGAGACACGGUCCAGACUCCUAGGGGAGGCAGCAGUGGGUAAUAUUGCACAUGGGGCGCAAGCCGGAUGCAGCCAUGCCGCGUGUAUGAAGAGGCCCUUCGGGUUGUAAGGUACUUUCAGCGGGGAGGCGUUACCCGCAGAAGAAGCACCGGCUAACUCCGUGCCAGCAGCCGCGGUAAUAC
rnacentral:rRNA from 1 species